rnacentral:rRNA from 1 species
UCCGGUUGAUCCUGCCGGAGGCCACUGCUAUCGGAGUUCGAUUAAGCCAUGCGAGUCGAGAGGUGCAAGACCUCGGCAUACUGCUCAGUAACACGUGGAUAACCUACCCUCAGGAGGGGGAUAACCCCGGGAAACUGGGGAUAAUACCCCAUAGACUAUGGAAGCUGGAAUGCUCUGUAGCUGAAAGGUUUACCGCCUGAGGAUGGGUCUGCGGCCGAUUAGGUUGUUGUUGGGGUAACGGCCCAACAAGCCUGUAAUCGGUACGGGUUGUGGGAGCAAGAGCCCGGAGAUGGAUUCUGAGACACGAAUCCAGGCCCUACGGGGCGCAGCAGGCGCGAAAACUUUGCAAUGCGGGAAACCGUGACAAGGGAACUCCGAGUGCCCGUAAAUUCGGGCUGUCCAUCAGUGUAAAUAACUGGUGAAGAAAGGGCCGGGCAAGACCGGUGCCAGCCGCCGCGGUAAUACCGGCGGCUCGAGUGGUGGCCACUAUUACUGGGCUUAAAGCGUCCGUAGCUGGUCUGUUAAGUCUCUGGGGAAAUCUACCGGCUUAACCGGUAGGCGUCUCAGGGAUACUGGCAGACUAGGGACCGGGAGAGGUGAGGGGUACUCCAGGGGUAGGAGUGAAAUCCUGUAAUCCUUGGGGGACCACCUGUGGCGAAGGCGCCUCACCAGAACGGCUCCGACAGUGAGGGACGAAAGCUGGGGGAGCAAACCGGAUUAGAUACCCGGGUAGUCCCAGCUGUAAACGAUGCGCGUUAGGUGUAUCGGUGACCACGAGUCACCGAGGUGCCGAAGGGAAACCGUGAAACGUGCCGCCUGGGAAGUACGGUCGCAAGGCUGAAACUUAAAGGAAUUGGCGGGA